UUGAAUAAAUUGAUAAGAGAUUUGCUGCUUCUCAUCUCCAGUGGAGAUAGACGAUUUGGUGACAUUCUCUGGUGGGCUACAGGAGGUGGGGGGAACAUCGUGAGGAAGAGAUCCCUUAGAUGUCCUUUCCACCUUUUUGUUGAGUUCUGGUAGAGAAAAAACACUGGUUAGGCAAGGUGGCCCAUCACCACCUUGUGGGUUUGUCCUUCUAAGGCUCCCUUGAACUUAACCUCUGCUUGGCGGAGACCCGAGGAUCUCCUGGUCGACGCCCAGAAGAUGCUCUGUGUUGAACCCGACCUUCCCACGGCCCAAACAGGCAAACAAAUGGCGUCCCUUGGAAAGAAUCAGUGUAGCCUGGCUAGAAGCCUGGCUGGAAGCUCGGCAGCGGGCUAGGAGUAGGGAGUACGACGGGGAUAAGUCUAGCGGCUGCACCCAAGAAAAUAGGGGUGUCCACUGCACCUGCAAACCCCACGCGCGCCUCGGCUUGGCCCCCUGCACCCCAGCCGGCUGCCCACCCUGGAGAGGCUGCCUGGGGGGCAGCAGUGUGUGUGUGUGUGUGUGUGUGUGUGUGUGUGUGUGCGUGUGUGUGUGUGUGUGUGUGUGUGUGUGUGGAGGUGGGGGGGGGGUGUCGGCGGCCGCUACAAGGAGGCGGCGAGGAGGCUGGGGAGGGGGGCGCGGCGGGCGGUGGCGCGGUCCAGGGGGAGGCGGGCGGAGGGAAGGCGCUGCCGCCGCCGCCUCACCCGCGGCGACACAGACGCCGGGAGCGGCCGAGGCGAGUGACUUCUUCUGACUUGAGCUUGCAGUGUGCUUUGAGAGAUCCUCUACCAGGUGCUGCUGGGGGCAACGCCCUAGUGCUAAUUGGCCAGAAGCAGGAUUCUAAAGUGGCGCAUGCCAGCACGGUCGAUCAAGAUCCCCCAGAUGGCUGCUGCCGGUGUCUCUGUGUCCAGGGAGAGUCCCAGCUGCCUUCUGCCUCUUUAGGAACAUCUCCAAGAGCAACAGGAGGUUUGUCAAACUACCAGCUUUGUCAAAGAACUUCUACUGAACUGGGACUCAGAGCAUGUGAGAUUUUGUGCAUGACCUUUAAGAGCAGAGUCUGUUCCCUAUAGCCUUCCAGCUCAGUUGAACAACAAGCCCCACUGGUUUCCAAGCCAAGCCUCCUGGGGGCUCAUCUUCACAGUGGUGGACCCUUGGGCUGAGGAGCCUGAUGUGGAAUGGAGACCCCUUCACUCCUCAGGGAGGGCUUCUGUGCCUGUGAUAUCCCUCCUGUUUGUGGGUCGCUGGCCCAGGGGGACCAGACCAGACCAAGUUUCCUCCAUCCUUCCUGCUUGUCUCAUGGAGGCUCCUUCUAUCUUUGGUGGUGGAAAAUGUUUUUCUCUGGGCUUCAGGUCGUUCUCAUAGGUAGUCAUCCAUAAGUAGCUGUAGUUUUGGUGUGCCUGUGGGAGGAGGUGAGCCCAGGGUCUUCUUCCUACUCUACCAUCUCAAUCUGUCUUCCCUACCCAUUUCUGGGUGUAGCUCUUGGGAUAUUGUGAAGGUUAAAAAAAAAAAAAAAUUAAAGGACUGAGCACUACAAGAAUGUAAGGAUUAUCAAGCUGAUAGGAUUUAAAUGUCUCGAAGUUUCUUUGUCUUGGUGUCUUCCCCUAGCAACUCUGUACCUAGUACAAUACCCACCCUUUAGUGUAGAUAGAUGUGUAACUCAGCUGUUACCUCGGUCACCUGGUUCUGUGAAAUGUACAUAAAAUGGCCUUGAACUGCACCCUGGGUGCUCUGAAGUCCUGGUGGCUUAGUCUCAGGGCCCUGCUUUGCUCUGGUUUUUGGUUGCUUCUGAGCUUUGGUCACAUGUGUGGCUCAUCUGUGACUGUUCUUUCUCUGCCCCGAGUGGACCCACAUAUAGUUACCUGCCCCCUCUCUUUGGUUUCCCCUAAGUAAGUCUCAUAGCUGGCAUUGGUGUGCUGCAGACUUCUAACUAUUCAGAAAUACUAGUUGGGGGAGAGCAGCACAUAGAUAAUUUAGGAUUAAAUAUUAGUUUUGUUCUAAAAAGUUCUCCUGGGGUGUAUCACUUCUACUUUCUUAAUUUCAUGUUAUGACAUCCUUCUAAAAAGGACAGUAUGGAAAAUAUGGGGCGAGAAUGACUUUACAGUGGAGAAAUCUGACAAGUGAUCAAGGUCAACUUUAACAGCCAAACCUCCCCAAAUCUCAUAACCCCAUUCUAAUCAUGGGAAAAACAUCAUACAAAUCCUAAUAGAGGGGCAUCCUAUAAAAUGCCUGACCAGUCCUCCUCAUAACUCUCAAGGCCAUCAAAGACAAGGAAAGUCCAGAAUAUCAUCAAAGCCAAGAAGGGUCUAUGGAAACAUAACACCUAAAUGUAACAAGCUACCUGGAACAGAAAAAGGACAUUAGGUGAACUAAGGAAAUCUAAAUAAUCUAUGGACUUUAUUUAAUAAAAAUGUAUUAAUACUGGUUUAUUAAUUGUAACAAAGGUACCCUAUUAAUGUAAUUAAUAUGUUAAUAAUGGGAAACUAUAUGGGAUGUGGUACACGGAACUCUCUUUUCCAUCUGCUCAAUUUUUCCAUAAAUCUAAAAUUACUCUAAAAAAUAAAGUCUGGUAAUCAAAAAACGUUUGCUUGGUUGUUUACCUGGAACAGAAAAUUUCUCUCUGGCAAUUUCCC
rnacentral:lncRNA from 1 species